AUGGUAACACCUGCAUGUAGGAGAGGUGAUGGAAACAGGAAGGAAAAAGUCAGAUUUACAGGGAAAAUACUAAUCCAGUACCAGUCAAGGGCCCUGUUUUCUCUAAGACCAAACGGGAGCAAAGCCUGCCUGGCGUUGCCAGCUGGGGCAGCGGUGAGCCCAGCACAUGCUGCACAAAGCAGCCCGUGCCACCCCGCCACCCAAUUCCUGUCCUCUCCUGGGAUAUUUACGACAUAUCCCGCAGUUGUCAUGUCAACACAACAAGCGGCUGCAGCGCUAAAUCAAGCCGUCAACGGGCCAGAACAGAAACGCCAUGCAGAACGCCUCCGGUGACUGACACGCAACAUGGCAUUUGUCAUUUUGCGAGGGUUUCGGUUGCUCCCUCACUACGUCGAGGUUGGUCUUCUGGAUGAGGAAUGGGGCAGGGGAAGAAUACCAAUGAGACAGCAAAGAUGACCUCUCUUGUAAAAAAAAAAAAAAAAAAAAAAAAAAAAAAAGGAAAAAUUGAAGUUGGUUAGAGUAUCAGGAGUUAUCAGGAGGUUUUUUUUUGGUGGGGUGGGGUGUGCUGUGUGUAAGCUAUGCGCUGCAUCUCCUUUCAGAAACAGUGCAGCCACAUCAAUAAUGCUGCUGUUGAAGAUAUUUACCUACAACCACCACAACUUCUUAACUCAAUUUGCGCUCCUUCAACAGCCACGGUAGAAAUCUCGUCUUUGGCCUCCUCCUGCCCAAAGCAAUCUUCCUCCCGCGCACUCAAAUUUAGCCAAGUGAGUGGGGCAGCAGUUAUGAAAGAGCACAUUUUUAUUGUAGCUAGCCCGUUUCCCCAAGGAAAUGGAGCAAAUAUGCUGAUUCGUACCGUGCCUGUCCAUCAGUCACUGUAAUAACUUUGGAGGCAGUAGGGCUCUCACGUCGAUUGCACUCCUUCAAGUUUUGUGCAAAUACAUUAGCAGCGGCAGGAGGGAGGCACGGCUGGCGUCGCGCUCCGCGCUCCGUGCCGGGUGAGCAGAGAUGCUGGAGGGAGCUGGCACCAGCAUCCCAGCUGCAGGAGGAGCUGGGAGCUAUUUCCAGGGACAUCACCCAUUUGCUGUCCAUAUUUAUAAUCUACAUUUCUUUUUUUUUGAUGCAGCAAAAAGAACUGCCACCUGCACUUGAAGCCUCCCCAACCCCCAGCCCAAAAGAAUAAAUUGCUUGGACAGAAUAUUUCA
rnacentral:lncRNA from 1 species